rnacentral:snoRNA from 1 species
ACAGCAUCUUAAACAGGUCGUGGUCUCUGGGCAGUAGACCAGGAUUUGGUAGCUGGUGCUAAAAUCAAUUCUCUUGUGCAACAGUCCCACUAGCAACCACUGUGCUUUUUGGGACUACUACUCGAGAGAUACAGAC